AUGAACGCUAGCUACAGGCUUAACACAUGCAAGUCGAGGGGCAGCAUGGUCUUAGCUUGCUAAGGCCGAUGGCGACCGGCGCACGGGUGAGUAACGCGUAUCCAACCUGCCUUACACUCUUGGACAGCCUUCUGAAAGGGAGAUUAAUACAAGAUGUUAUCAUGAGUAAGCAUUUUCGCAUGAUUAAAGGUUUACCGGUGUAAGAUGGGGAUGCGUUCCAUUAGAUAGUAGGCGGGGUAACGGCCCACCUAGUCUUCGAUGGAUAGGGGUUCUGAGAGGAAGGUCCCCCACAUUGGAACUGAGACACGGUCCAAACUCCUACGGGAGGCAGCAGUGAGGAAUAUUGGUCAAUGGACGAGAGUCUGAACCAGCCAAGUAGCGUGAAGGAUGAAGGUUCUAUGGAUUGUAAACUUCUUUUAUACGGGAAUAAACGGAUCCACGUGUGGAUUUUUGCAUGUACCGUAUGAAUAAGGAUCGGCUAACUCCGUGCCAGCAGCCGCGGUAAUACGGAGGAUCCGAGCGUUAUCCGGAUUUAUUGGGUUUAAAGGGAGCGUAGAUGGGUUGUUAAGUCAGUUGUGAAAGUUUGCGGCUCAACCGUAAAAUUGCAAUUGAUACUGGCAGUCUUGAGUACAGUUGAGGUAGGCGGAAUUCGUGGUGUAGCGGUGAAAUGCUUAGAUAUCACGAAGAACUCCGAUUGCGAAGGCAGCUUACUAACCUGUAACUGACAUUGAUGCUCGAAAGUGUGGGUAUCAAACAGGAUUAGAUACCCUGGUAGUCCACACGGUAAACGAUGAAUACUCGCUGUAGGCGAUAUACAGUCUGCGGCCAAGCGAAAGCAUUAAGUAUUCCACCUGGGGAGUACGCCGGCAACGGUGAAACUCAAAGGAAUUGACGGGGGCCCGCACAAGCGGUGGAGCAUGUGGUUUAAUUCGAAGCAACGCGAAGAACCUUACCAGGUCUUGACAUCCUUUGACCACUCUAGAGAUAGAGCUUUCCCUUCGGGGACAAAGUGACAGGUGGUGCAUGGUUGUCGUCAGCUCGUGUCGUGAGAUGUUGGGUUAAGUCCCGCAACGAGCGCAACCCUUAUUGUUAGUUGCCAUCAUUUAGUUGGGCACUCUAGCGAGACUGCCGGUGACAAACCGGAGGAAGGUGGGGAUGACGUCAAAUCAUCAUGCCCCUUAUGACCUGGGCUACACACGUGCUACAAUGGCAGUUACAAAGAGAAGCAAACCUGUGAAGGUGAGCAAACCUCAAAAAGGCUGUCUCAGUUCGGAUUGUAGUCUGCAACUCGACUACAUGAAGCUGGAAUCGCUAGUAAUCGCGGAUCAGCAUGCCGCGGUGAAUACGUUCCCGGGCCUUGUACACACCGCCCGUCACACCACGAGAGUUUGUAACACCCGAAGUCGGUGAGGUAACCUUUUAGGAGCCAGCCGCCGAAGGUGGGACAGAUGAUUGGGGUG
rnacentral:rRNA from 1 species